UAGUCCACGCCGUAAACGAUGAGAACUAGAUGUCGGGAGGAUCAGCCUCUCGGUGUCGCAGCUAACGCAUUAAGUUCUCCGCCUGGGGAGUACGCGGGCAACCGUAAAACUCAAAGGAAUUGACGGGGGCCCGCACAAGCGGUGGAGUAUGUGGUUUAAUUCGAAGCAACGCGCAGAACCUUACCUGGCCUUGACAUCCCGGGACAACCAUAGAGAUAUGGCUUUCUCUUCGGAGACUCGGUGACAGAUGCUGCAUGGCUGUCGUCAGCUCGUGUUGUGAAAUGUUCGGUUAAGUCCGGCAACGAGCGCAACCCUUAUCCUUAGUUACCAGCAUUAAGUUGGGCACUCUAGGGAGACUGCCGGUGUCAAACCGGGNGGAAGGCGGGGAUGACGUCAAGUCCUCAUGGGCUCUUACGGGCCAGGGGCUACACACGUACUACAAUGGGCAAAAACA
rnacentral:rRNA from 1 species